UUAAGUUCAGCGGGUAUCCCUACCUGAUCCGAGGUCAAUCAUGAAAAAUGGGGGGUUUUGGCAGGUGUUCACCAGGACCCUAUAGCGACAGAUAUGUACUACGCUUAGAGCCUGACGGCACCGCCACUGAUUUUAAGGGCUGCCUCUACAGCAGGCCCCAACACCAAGCUGAGCUUGAGGGGUGAUAAUGACGCUCGAAC
rnacentral:misc_RNA from 1 species